CAGAGGGUAGUUUAAUUUUAUAAUCUUAGCUUUGGGAGUUAAGGGUGGAAGUUAAAAUCUUCCCCCUCUGA
rnacentral:tRNA from 1 species